GAUGAACGCUGGCGGCGUGCUUAACACAUGCAAGUCGAACGGAAAGGCCCUGCUUUUGUGGGGUGCUCGAGUGGCGAACGGGUGAGUAACACGUGAGUAACCUGCCCUUGACUUUGGGAUAACUUCAGGAAACUGGGGCUAAUACCGGAUAGGAGCUCCUGCUGCAUGGUGGGGGUUGGAAAGUUUCGGCGGUUGGGGAUGGACUCGCGGCUUAUCAGCUUGUUGGUGGGGUAGUGGCUUACCAAGGCUUUGACGGGUAGCCGGCCUGAGAGGGGGACCGGCCACAUGGGGACUGAGAUACGGCGCAGACUCCUACGGGAGGCAGCAGUGGAGAAUAUUGCACAAUAGGCGGAAGCCUGAUGCAGCAGCGCCGCGUGCGUGAUGACGGCCUUCGGGUUAUAAACCGCUUUCGCCUGUGACGAAGCGUGAGUGACGGUAAUGGGUAAAGAAGCACCGGCUAACUACGUG
rnacentral:rRNA from 1 species